ACAAUGGGCGCAAGCCUGAUCCAGCAAUGCCGCGUGCAGGAAGAAGGCCUUCGGGUUGUAAACUGCUUUUGUACGGAGCGAAAAGGCUCCCUCUAAUACAGGGGGCUCAUGACGGUACCGUAAGAAUAAGCACCGGCUAACUACGUGCCAGCAGCCGCGGUAAUACGUAGGGUGCAAGCGUUAAUCGGAAUUACUGGGCGUAAAGCGUGCGCAGGCGGUUUUGUAAGACAGGCGUGAAAUCCCCGGGCUCAACCUGGGAAUUGCGCUUGUGACUGCAAGGCUGGAGUGCGGCAGAGGGGGAUGGAAUUCCCAGUGUAGCGGUGAAAUGCGUAGAUAUUGAGAGGAACACCAGUGGCGAAAGCGACUUUCUGGGCCGUUCCUGACGCUGAGGUACGAAAGCGUGGGGAGCAAACAGGAUUAGAUACCCUGGUAGUCCACGCCGUAAACGAUGGAUACUAGGUGUAGAGGGUAUCGACCCCCUCUGUGCCGUAGCUAACGCGUUAAGUAUCCCGCC
rnacentral:rRNA from 1 species